rnacentral:rRNA from 1 species
UGGGGAAUAUUGGACAAUGGGCGAAAGCCUGAUCCAGCCAUGCCGCGUGUGUGAAGAAGGUCUUCGGAUUGUAAAGCACUUUAAGUUGGGAGGAAGGGCAGUAAGCGAAUACCUUGCUGUUUUGACGUUACCGACAGAAUAAGCACCGGCUAACUCUGUGCCAGCAGCCGCGGUAAUACAGAGGGUGCAAGCGUUAAUCGGAAUUACUGGGCGUAAAGCGCGCGUAGGUGGUUCGUUAAGUUGAAUGUGAAAGCCCCGGGCUCAACCUGGGAACUGCAUCCAAAACUGGCGAGCUAGAGUAGGGCAGAGGGUGGUGGAAUUUCCUAUGUAGCGGUGAAAUGCGUAGAUAUAGGAAGGAACACCAGUGGCGAAGGCGACCACCUGGGCUCAUACUGACACUGAGGUGCGAAAGCGUGGGGAGCAAACAGG